UACGAAGGGGGCAAGCGUUGUUCGGAAUUACUGGGCGUAAAGGGCGCGCAGGCGGCCAUUCAAGUCAGAUGUGAAAGCCCCGGGCUCAACCUGGGAAUAGCAUUUGGGACUGGGUGGCUAGAGUUCGGGAGAGGAGAGUGGAAUUCCCGAGUGUAGAGGUGAAAUUCGUAGAUAUUGGGAAGAACACCGGUGGCGAAGGCGGGUCUCUGGGCCGAUACUGACGCUGAGGAGCGAAAGCGUGGGGAGCGAACAGG
rnacentral:rRNA from 1 species